rnacentral:rRNA from 1 species
GACGAACGCUGGCGGCGUGCCUAAUACAUGCAAGUAGAACGCUGAAGGAGGAGCUUGCUUCUCUGGAUGAGUUGCGAACGGGUGAGUAACGCGUAGGUAACCUGCCUGGUAUCGGGGGAUAACUAUUGGAAACGAUAGCUAAUACCGCAUAACAGUAGAUAUCGCAUGAUAUCUACUUGAAAGGUGCAAUUGCAUCACUACCAGAUGGACCUGCGUUGUAUUAGCUAGUUGGUGAGGUAACGGCUCACCAAGGCGACGAUACAUAGCCGACCUGAGAGGGUGAUCGGCCACACUGGGACUGAGACACGGCCCAGACUCCUACGGGAGGCAGCAGUAGGGAAUCUUCGGCAAUGGACGGAAGUCUGACCGAGCAACGCCGCGUGAGUGAAGAAGGUUUUCGGAUCGUAAAGCUCUGUUGUAAGAGAAGAACGAGUGUGAGAGUGGAAAGUUCACACUGUGACGGUAUCUUACCAGAAAGGGACGGCUAACUACGUG